rnacentral:rRNA from 1 species
AGUGAACGCUGGCGGUAGGCCUAACACAUGCAAGUCGAACGGCAGCACAGUAAGAGCUUGCUCUUACGGGUGGCGAGUGGCGGACGGGUGAGGAAUACAUCCGAAUCUACUUUUUCGUGGGGGAUAACGUAGGGAAACUUACGCUCAUACAGCAUACGACCUACGGGUGAAAGCAGGGGAUCUUCGGACCUUGCGCGGUUGAAUGAGCCGCUGUCGGUUUAGCUAGUUGGCGGGGUAAAGGCCCACCAAGGCGCCGAUCCGUAGCUGGUGUGAGAGGAUGGUCAGCCACACGAGAACUGAGACACGGUCCAGACGCCUACGGGAGGCAGCAGUGGGGAAUAUUGGACAAUGGGCGCAAGCCUGAUCCAGCCAUACCGCGUGGGUGAAGAAGGCCUUCGGGUUGUAAAGCCCUUUUGUUGGGAAAGAAAAGCAUCAGGUUAAUACCCCGCUGUUCUGACGGUACCCAAAGAAUAAGCACCGGCUAACUUCGUG